GACGAACGCUGGCGGCGUGCUUAACACAUGCAAGUCGAACGUGAUUUUUGUGGAAAGCCCUUCGGGGACGGAAAUGAAAUGAAAGUGGCGAACGGGUGAGUAACACGUGAGCAACCUACCUUACACAGGGGGAUAGCCGUUGGAAACGACGAUUAAUACCGCAUGAGACCACAAAGCCAUAUGGCUUAGGGGUAAAAGAUUUAUCGGUGUAAGAUGGGCUCGCGUCUGAUUAGCUAGUUGGAAGGGUAAAGGCCUACCAAGGCAACGAUCAGUAGCCGGUCUGAGAGGAUGAACGGCCACAUUGGAACUGAGACACGGUCCAAACUCCUACGGGAGGCAGCAGUGGGGAAUAUUGCACAAUGGGGGGAACCCUGAUGCAGCGACGCCGCGUGAGCGAAGAAGGUUUUCGAAUCGUAAAGCUCUGUCCUAUGAGAAGAUAAUGACGGUAUCAUAGGAGGAAGCCCCGGCUAAAUACGUGCCAGCAGCCGCGGUAAUACGUAUGGGGCGAGCGUUGUCCGGAAUUAUUGGGCGUAAAGGGUACGUAGGCGGCCUUUUAAGUCAGGUGUGAAAGCGUGAGGCUUAACCUCAUUAAGCACUUGAAACUGGAAGGCUUGAGUGAAGGAGAGGAAAGUGGAAUUCCUAGUGUAGCGGUGAAAUGCGUAGAUAUUAGGAGGAAUACCGGUGGCGAAGGCGACUUUCUGGACUUUUACUGACGCUCAGGUACGAAAGCGUGGGGAGCAAACAAG
rnacentral:rRNA from 1 species